AGAGUUUGAUCAUGGCUCAGAACGUACGCUGGCGGCACGCCUAACACAUGCAAGUCGAACGAAGUAGCAAUACUUAGUGGCAGACGGGUGAGUAACAUGUGGGUAUCUGCCCUUUGGCCUGGAAUAACACGAGGAAACUUGUGCUAAUACCGGAUAAGUCUUUACAGAGAAAGCUUUAUGCACCAUUGGAUGAGCCCGCACUUGAUUAGUUUGUUGGUGGGGUAAUGGCCUACCAAGACUUUGAUCAAUAGCUGAUUUGAGAGGAUGAUCAGCCACAUUGGGACUGAGACACGGCCCAAACUCCUACGGGAGGCAGCAGUGGGGAAUCUUGCACAAUGGAGGAAACUCUGAUGCAGCGAUGCCGCGUGAGUGAAGAAGGCCCUUGGGUUGUAAAGCUCUUUCGUCGGGGAAGAAAAUGACUGUACCCGAAUAAGAAGGUCCGGCUAACUUCGUGCCAGCAGCCGCGGUAAUACGAAGGGACCUAGCGUAGUUCGGAAUUACUGGGCUUAAAGAGUUCGUAGGUGGUUGAAAAAGUUGGUGGUGAAAUCCCAGAGCUUAACUCUGGAACUGCCAUCAAAACUUUUCAGCUAGAGUUUGAUAGAGGAAAGCAGAAUUUCUAGUGUAGAGGUGAAAUUCGUAGAUAUUAGAAAGAAUACCAAUUGCGAAGGCAGCUUUCUGGAUCAUUACUGACACUGAGGAACGAAAGCAUGGGUAGCGAAGAGGAUUAGAUACCCUCGUAGUCCAUGCCGUAAACGAUGUGUGUUAGACGUUGGAAAAUUUAUUUUCAGUGUCGCAGCGAAAGCGAUAAACACACCGCCUGGGGGAGUACGA
rnacentral:rRNA from 1 species